CGGGGACCCNCCACAAGCGGUGGAUGAUGUGGGUUNAAUUCNGAUGCCAACGCGGAAAAACCCUUACCCCACCUUUGANCAUGUACCGNAACCCUUUAGANAUAGAGGGGGUGCUCCGAAAGAGAACCGUAACACAGGUGCUGCAUGGCUGUNGUCAUUUCGUGUCGUGAGAUGUUGGGUUAAGUCCCGCAACGAGCGCAACCCUUGCCAUUAGUUGCUANGAAAGGGCACUCUAAUGGGACUGCCGGUGACAAACCGGAGGAAGGUGGGGAUGACGUCAAGUCCUCAUGGCCCUUAUAGGUGGGGCUACACACGUCAUACAAUGGCCGGUACAAAGGGUAGCCAACCCGCGAGGGGGAGCCAAUCCCAUAAAGCCGGUCGUAGUCCGGAUCGCAGUCUGCAACUNGACUGCGUGAAGUCGGAAUCGCUAGUAAUCGUGGAUCAGCAUGUCACGGUGAAUACGUUCCCGGUUCUUGUACACNCCGCCCGUCACACCAUGGGAGCGGGUUCGUUCCAGAAGUAGUGUAUGCCUUAAUCCGUAAGGAGGAGCGCUUACUCAUCGGUCAGGGUUCGUGAUUGUGGGUGAAGUCGUAACAAGGUAUGCCGUAUCGGAAGGUGCGGCUGGAUCACCUCCUU
rnacentral:rRNA from 1 species